CGAUGCGAUCAUACCAGCACUAAAGCACCAGAUCCCAUCAGAACUCCGAAGUUAAGUGUGCUUGGGCGAGAGUAGUACUAGGAUGGGUGACCUCCUGGGAAGUCCUCGUGUUGCAUUCC
rnacentral:rRNA from 1 species